rnacentral:hammerhead_ribozyme from 1 species
AUCCAUUUAACGAGUCACAAAUAGGACGAAACGCGUGUCCUGGAU